AGGGGUAUAGUUCUUCGGAGCUAGAGACCGGCGCACGGGUGCGUAACGCGUAUGCAAUCUACCUUUUACAGAGGGAUAGCCCAGAGAAAUUUGGAUUAAUACCUCAUAGUAUGUGAGAAUCGCAUGGUUUUCACAUUAAAGUUCCAACGGUAAAAGAUGAGCAUGCGUCCCAUUAGCUAGAUGGUAAGGUAACGGCUUACCAUGGCGACGAUGGGUAGGGGUCCUGAGAGGGAGAUCCCCCACACUGGUACUGAGACACGGACCAGACUCCUACGGGAGGCAGCAGUGAGGAAUAUUGGACAAUGGGCGCAAGCCUGAUCCAGCCAUGCCGCGUGCAGGAUGACGGUCCUAUGGAUUGUAAACUGCUUUUGUACAGGAAGAAACACUCCCUCGUGAGGGAGCUUGACGGUACUGUAAGAAUAAGGAUCGGCUAACUCCGUGCCAGCAGCCGCGGUAAUACGGAGGAUCCAAGCGUUAUCCGGAAUCAUUGGGUUUAAAGGGUCCGUAGGCGGUUUAAUAAGUCAGUGGUGAAAGCCCAUCGCUCAACGGUGGAACGGCCAUUGAUACUGUUAAACUUGAAUUAUUAGGAAGUAACUAGAAUAUGUAGUGUAGCGGUGAAAUGCUUAGAGAUUACAUGGAAUACCAAUUGCGAAGGCAGGUUACUACUAAUGGAUUGACGCUGAUGGACGAAAGCGUGGGUAGCGAACAGGAUUAGAUACCCUGGUAGUCCACGCCGUAAACGAUGGAUACUAGCUGUUGGGCGCAAGUUCAGUGGCUAAGCGAAAGUGAUAAGUAUCCCACCUG
rnacentral:rRNA from 1 species